rnacentral:rRNA from 1 species
UCCUGGGAGGAUUGACAGAUUGAAAGCACUUUCUUGAUUCGGUGGAUGGUGGUGCAUGUCCGAUCUUAGUUGGUGGAGCGAUUUGUCUGGUUAAUUCUGAUAACAAACGAGACUCUAUCCUAUUAGAUAGGUGCGUGGUUCUCUGCAAAUUACAGACUUAGAGGGACAAGCAGCUCCUAGUCGUACGAAAAAAGAGCAAAAACAGGUCUGUGAUGUCCUUACAU